AGCGGUGGAGCAUGUGGUUUAAUUCGAUGCUACGCGAAGAACCUUACCAGGUCUUGACAUCUUCUGCCAACCUAAGAGAUUAGGCGUUCCCUUCGGGGACAGAAUGACAGGUGGUGCAUGGUUGUCGUCAGCUCGUGUCGUGAGAUGUUGGGUUAAGUCCCGCAACGAGCGCAACCCUUAUUGUUAGUUGCCAGCAUUCAGUUGGGCACUCUAGCAAGACUGCCGGUGACAAACCGGAGGAAGGUGGGGAUGACGUCAAACCAUCAUGCCCCUUAUGACCUGGGCUACACACGUGCUACAAUGGACGGUACAACGAGUCGCGAAACCGCGAGGUCAAGCUAAUCUCUUAAAGCCGUUCUCAGUUCGGAUUGUAGGCUGCAACUCGCCUACAUGAAGUUGGAAUCGCUAGUAAUCGUGGAUCAGCAUGCCACGGUGAAUACGUUCCCGGGCCUUGUACACACCGCCCGUCACACCAUGAGAGUUUGUAACACCCAAAGCCGGUGAGGUAACCUUCGGGGACCAGCCGUCUAAGGUGGGACAGAUGAUUAGGGUGAAGUCGUAACAAGGUAACC
rnacentral:rRNA from 1 species